rnacentral:lncRNA from 1 species
AAUAUAGCUCAAGACAAAACCACUACUUAAUCGGAUCACUUACUACCCUUAGAUUGCAUGUGCUCACUUCAAAAUCCAAUAACUCCUUCAUUUUAACUUGGAAUCUAGCAACCAAUAUAAAAAAAGUGUAGCGGCAAAAGUGUUCUCUUCAAUUACAAUCGUCAAUCCUCAAUUAUCCUUUGUAUGUGUGCGUUAUGCCAAAAAGAGUGAUAGUAGCUCUCAAAUAAAUACCUUAACUUUGAGCACCUAUAUCUCCUUCAUAUAAACUCCAAAUCAUACAAAAUUUGCACCAAAACCAUAGCCAAAAAUUUAAACUAACUGACCUUAACCUUCAAAGCUCAAAUGACUCUGAAAAACUAAUCCUAAUCCCUAGUAAGGCCUCGGGUAGCCUCUUCAAAGUCCAUUGGUUAUGAUUUUUGAUCAAUAGGAAUGGAGAUUUUUGAUCAAUAGGAAUGGAGAUUUUUAUCAUCCAUCUCCACUCAUCUAUAUUGGUGUCUUAAUUACUUCUUUUGCUACCAAAACCCUUCUUCAAUCCUUUUAUUUAUAAGAUUUACAUAAUUUAUGCACUACACACCAAAUAAAAGAACCAAAAUAAGUUUUCAAAGGUCACCAAUGUCUAACAAAGAUGACUCUAAAUAUUUAGAAGUUACUAUCAACGAGAAUCAAUCUUAAAAGCUACUAUCAAAAGAAAUUAAAAUUAUACAAAUUCUAUAGUAAUCUUUUUAAACAACCUCUUUUUAAGGUAAUAAUCAAAUUAUAUUCUACAAUCAACUAAAAUCUACUCACCAUGUUAUUUAGUAAAUUAUAUAUUAAGUACAUAAUUACAUUAUUUUCAUAUAAUAGCCAAAC